UUCUGGUCUGGAGCGUCAGUGUGGUGGGGGUUAGUAGGUGUUGGAGGUUGUUCUGGUCUGGAGGGUCAGUGUGGUGGGGGUUAGUAGGUGUUGGACUGGGUUGUUCUGGUCUGGAGCAUCAGUGUGGUGGGGGUUAGUAGGUGUUGGAGGUUGUUCUGGUCUGGAGCGUCAGUGUGGUGGGGGUUAGUAGGUCUUGGAGGUUGUUCUGGUCUGGAGCGUCAGUGUGGUGGGGGUUAGUAGAUGUUGGACUUGGUUGUUCUGGUCUGGAGGGUCAGUGUGGUGGGGGUUAGUA
ensembl:lncRNA